rnacentral:rRNA from 1 species
AAUGACUCUCGGUAAUGGAUAUCUUGGCUCUUGCAUCGAUGAAGAAUGUAGAAAAAUGUGAUACUUGGUGUGAAUUAUAGAAUCCCGUGAACCAUCAAGUCUUUAAAUGUAAGUUAUGCCCUAAGCUGUUAGGCGUAGGGCACGUCUGCCUGGGUGUCACGUGU